UACGGAGGGUGCAAGCGUUAUCCGGAUUCACUGGGUUUAAAGGGUGCGUAGGCGGACUUAUAAGUCAGUGGUGAAAGCCCGGGGCUCAACUCCGGAACUGCCAUUGAUACUGUGAGUCUCGAGUACAGUUGAGGUGGGCGGAAUACAUCAUGUAGAGGUGAAAUUCUUAGAUAUGAUGUAGAACACCGAUUGCGAAGGCAGCUCACUAAAGUGUAACUGACGCUGAGGCACGAAAGCGUGGGUAUCAAACAGG
rnacentral:misc_RNA from 1 species